UACGUAGGGUGCAAGCGUUGUCCGGAAUUAUUGGGCGUAAAGAGCUCGUAGGCGGUCUGUCGCGUCGGCUGUGAAAACCCGAGGCUCAACCUCGGGCCUGCAGUGGGUACGGGCAGACUAGAGUGCGGUAGGGGGAGAUUGGAAUUCCUGGUGUAGCGGUGAAAUGCGCAGAUAUCAGGAGGAACACCGGUGGCGAAGGCGGGUCUCUGGGCCGAAACUGACGCUGAGGAGCGAAAGCGUGGGGAGCGAACAGG
rnacentral:rRNA from 1 species